GGGAUAUGCAAAUGUUGUUGGUCUGGAUUCAUAAUCCACAUUAUUAUCAUAAUCGGAGCGGUUCAAACAGUCUGUUGGUAAAAAUUUCUCUCCAGGACGCACAGUGGCGGCCUGUGUCGCUUGGGAUAUUGUGCCGAGAAAAAUAUCACUGUUUAGAGCAAUCAGCCCGAUUGUUCCGUGUGCACGACCUAGGGUUCUGUAGCCCGACAGGUCCAGCGCAUCCAGACCUGCGAAUUCGAUAUGGCAUUUCGGCGGGCUAACAUGGGAGUACGAGGCGGUUGAGGUCGAUUCAGAGGUGAUGGGCACAUGGUGAAGGAUCAAGGCAUGGUCGUCAGAAAUCAAUGCUAACGCGCGAUCAGGGUGAUCUCGACAGAGAACUCGCAGCGACAUGGUUUCUGGCUCUGUCUUGUCCGGCUAUGCAAUACGAUCAAUUGGCAGUAGUAUUUAAUAAUGUAGGCUGGCCGCCAAAGCCGGAAGACCAGCGAGAAUGGCUGACCUCCAGUUAUUCGAAGAACAGGUACUGCAUUACUAUCAUCUUCUCAGCCUGGCGUGUAGUUUAGAAUGCGAUGAUGCGAUGUUUUAAAGCCGCAUAUACGUAUUGAUAUAUAUAUAUAUAUAGAGAGAGAGAGAGAGAGAGAGAGA
rnacentral:sRNA from 1 species